rnacentral:rRNA from 1 species
GAGUUCCUACGGGGGGCAGCAGUGGGGAAUAUUGCACAGUGGGGGGAACCCUGAUGCAGCGACGCCGCGUGGGUGAAGGAGCACCUCGGUGCGUAAAGCCCUAUCGGCAGGGAAGAAAAGCGAACAGGUUCGCCUGGACGGUACCUGACUAAGAAGCCCCGGCUAACUACGUGCCAGCAGCCGCGGUAAUACGUAGGGGGCAAGCGUUAUCCGGAUUCACUGGGUGUAAAGGGAGCGUAGAAGGCGACGCCAGUCUGG